rnacentral:misc_RNA from 1 species
GGUUCGAUCCUGGCUCAGAUUGAACGCUGGCGGGAUGCUUUACACAUGCAAGUCGAACGGCAGCACGGACUUCGGUCUGGUGGCGAGUGGCGAACGGGUGAGUAAUGUAUCGGAGCAUUUAGUAGCGGGGGGAUAACUACGUAGCGUAGCUAAUACCACAUACGCCAUGAGAAGAAGCAGGGGACGCUCGGGCCUCGCACUAUUAGAGCGGCCGAUAUCGGAUUAGCUAGUUGGUGGGGCCAACGGCUCACCGAAGGCUGACGAUCGUAGCUGGUUUCAGAGAGGGACAACGACCAGCCACACUGCUACAGGACUGAGACACGGCCAGACUCCUACGGGAGGCAGCAGUGGGGAAUUUUGGACAAUGGGGAAACCCUGAUCCAGCCAUCCCGCGUGUGCGAUGAAGGCCUUCGGGUUAUAAGGCACUUUUGGCAGGAAGAAGCAGCUGGGAUAAUACCCGUGCAACUGACGUACCUGCAGAAUAAGCACCGGCUAACUGCAUUGCUAACACCAUGCCAGUAAUGCAGCAAGUGCAAGCGUUAAUCAGAUUACUGGGCGUAAAACGUGCGCAGGCGGUUCGGAAGAAAGAUGUGAAAUCCCAGAGCUUAACUUUGGAACUGCAUUUUUAACUACCGAGCUAAGAGUAUGUCAGAGGGAGGGUGGAAUUCACGCUGUGACAGUGAAAAAGAUACGUAGAUAUCACGGAGGAACACCGAUGGCGAAGGCAGCCUCCUGGAUAACACUGACGCUCAUGCACGAAAGCGUGGGGAGCAAGCAGGAUUAGAUACCCUGGUAGUCCACGCCCUAAACAAAUCAUCAACUAGCUGUUGGGGCCUUCGGGCCUUGGUAGCGCAGCUAACGCG